CCACCAGUGGGGAAUUAUUGCACAAUGGGCGAAAGCCUGAUGCCACCCAUCCCGCGUGUGUGAAGAAGGCCUUAAGGGUUGUAAACCACUUUCAGUAGGAGGAAAGGUUUGCGUGUUAAUAGCACGUAGCUGUGACGUUACCUACAGAAGAAGGACCGGCUAACUCCGUGCCAGCAGCCGCGGUAAUACGGAGGGUCCGAGCGUUAAUCGGAAUUACUGGGCGUAAAGCGUACGUAGGUGGUUUGUUAAGUUGGAUGUGAAAGCCCAGGGCUCAACCUUGGAACUGCAUCCAAAACUGGCGAACUAGAGUAUGGUAGAGGUGAGUGGAAUUCCCUGUGUAGCGGUGAAAUGCGUAGAGAUGGGGAGGAACAUCAGUGGCGAAGGCGACUCACUGGACCAAUACUGACACUGAGGUACGAAAGCGUGGGUAGCAAACAGGAUUAGAUACCCUGGUAGUCCACGCCGUAAACGAUGUCUACUAGCCGUUGGGGUCCUUGAGACUUUAGUGGCGCAGCUAACGCACUAAGUAGACCGCCUGGGGAGUACGGUCGCAAGAUUAAAACUCAAAGGAAUUGACGGGGAAUCACUAGUGAAUU
rnacentral:rRNA from 1 species